GCUGGGCAUGGUGGCACAUGCCUGUAAUCCCAGCUACUUGGGAGGCUGAGGCAGGAGAAUCAUUUGAACCCAGGAGGUGGAGAUUGCAGUGAGAGGAGAUCAUGCCACUGCACUCCAGCCUGGGCAACAGAGUGAGACUCUGUCUCAA
ensembl:misc_RNA Metazoa_SRP Metazoan signal recognition particle RNA